AAGGAAAAGGUUGGUUAAUGAUGAUAGUGCAACGCAUGUCAGAAGAUAAGACAACCGGGAUUGUCUCACUUCCUUACAACGAGGCAAUGAAUGUUAUUCUUGUGUGCUUACAACAGAAAUUGGAAUUGGAGGUGUUGUAUGUUGUUCUGAGAAACUUUCCAGAGGCACUGCAAGAUAAAAACUUGAUACAUUCUUGAAAGCACUACUUGCGUUAAAUAUGUACAGUGUUAUCUAAAAUGGUUUGAAAUUAUGAUUUUCUUCCUGGAUUAUUUCGUGUUCC
rnacentral:lncRNA from 1 species